rnacentral:rRNA from 1 species
UAUCACUCAGCUUUGCAAUCGGGCGCCUUCCGCGUCCGAGUUGUAAUUUGAAGAAGGUAUCUUUGGUUUUGGCUCUUGUCUAUGUUCCUUGGAACAGGACGUCACAGAGGGUGAGAAUCCCGUGCGAUGAGAUGCCCAAUUCCAUGUAAAGUUCCUUCGACGAGUCGAGUUGUUUGGGAAUGCAGCUCUAAGUGGGUGGUAAAUUCCAUCUAAAGCUAAAUAUUGGCGAGAGACCGAUAGCGAACAAGUACUGUGAAGGAAAGAUGAAAAGAACUUUGAAAAGAGAGUGAAAAAGUACGUGAAAUUGUUGAAAGGGAAGGGCUUGAGGUCAGACUUGGUUUUACCAGGCCAGCAUCAGUUUGGGUGGCAGGAUAAGUGCGUAGGAAAGUGGCUCCACCUCGGUGGAGUGUUAUAGCCUGCGUCGAUACUGCCUGCCUAGACUGAGGACUGCGUCUUUGACUAGGAUGCUGGCAUAAUGACCUUAAGCC